UAGCCUCCGUAGCUUAAUGGAUAAAGCAAUGUAUACCAAGCAUUAAAUUCCAGUUCGAUUCUGGAAGGGGCUAU
rnacentral:tRNA from 1 species